GAUGAAGAACGUAGCGAAAUGCGAUAAGUAAUGUGAAUUGCAGAAUUCAGUGAAUCAUCGAAUCUUUGAACGCACAUUGCGCCCGCCAGCAUUCUGGCGGGCAUGCCUGUUCGAGCGUCAUUUCAACCCUCGAGCCCCCCCGGGGGCCUCGGUGUUGGGGGACGGCACACCAGCCGCCCCCGAAAUGCAGUGGCGACCCCGCCGCAGCCUCCCCUGCGUAGUAGCACACACCUCGCACCGGAGCGCGGAGGCGGUCACGCCGUAAAACGCCCAACUUUCUUAGAGUUGACCUCGGAUCUGGUAGGAAUACCCGCUGAACUUAAGCAUAUCAAUAAGCGGAGGA
rnacentral:misc_RNA from 1 species